CUCUUACUCUCUCUGUCCGAAAAUACUUGUCAUCAAAAUGAAUAAAAAGGGAUGUAUCUAGAACUAAAAUACGUCUAGAUACAUCCCCUUUUGUUCAUUUUGAUGACAAGUAUUUCCGGACGGAGGGAGUACCUG
rnacentral:pre_miRNA from 1 species